UUUCGCAGAUGUGCAACGCCACUAAAAUGCCGGCGCAUGUCAUUCGGAUAAUCCGAUUAAUUAGGCGAUAGAUGUGCAUCAGCGCCGUCUGUCGUAUAUACCGAUAAAUUCUGAAAAACCAAUGAUUUAUAUUGACCACGUUGUUAACGCCGACAUUCGGUAGACGCCACACAGAAAACUAUAAAUAACUAGAAAAAAAGAAUUUCCUGAUCUCUAUAUAAUUUGAAAUGAUAAAUUUUUAUAAGAAAUUUCGUUUAUGCAGUUAUGAAUUUAACGAAAGAAAGAAUAUAUUAUUAUUCAAUAGCAAAAAAAUGAUCGUAUUGUCUAAAAAGAAAAGUGUCUUAUAAAAGAGUGUCUAGAGUGAAUGUUUCCCUUAUCAAAGAUAUACGUGAACGAACUAUGGCUAUGAUAAAAAAAACACAAACAAUAACCUGAGAAAAUUAUCUCAUCGUUAAGUAUUUGUGUGUUCUUCGGGUAUCUCUUGGAACAAGCUUCGAGUUAUUGGUUCUUCAUCGUAUCUUCCGGACUGCGAUGUCGCCGAUGGUGCAGAGAGAGAGCCAGGUUGAAGCAGAUCGAAAGCCAAUAGACCGCCUUAAAAUUCAAGAAGCGGCACCUGCCUCUUUUGCCUAUACGCCUUUCGAUAUAUCUCUUCAACGAGAUUGAAACAAGGAUAGAAGCGAUAAUUAAAAUGUAUUCCCAUGAACACAUGCCAUCAAUGCUUGUUUAAAUCAGCCUCGAGCGAAUAACAACAUAGAUACAAAAAUGGAAAAAAAGAAAUCAACCAGAUAAAACGUCAACGCAACAUUAUCUUAAAAAAACACAUCACAGCAAGACUUCCUCUUGGAAAGGAAAAA